rnacentral:pre_miRNA from 1 species
AAUAAGUGCAGUUUUGCACUAUUCACGUUCAACGUUUGACUGUCCGUCUUAUUUGAAAAAUUUGUGAAAAAAUUAAAAACAUUUAGUCACACAUAGAGUACUAUUCAUGUUUUAUCAUCUAAUAGCAAUAAAAAUACUAAUCAUAAAAAAUUUUCAAAUAAGACGGACGGUCAAACGUUGAACGUGAAUAGUGUAAAACUGCACUUAUU